rnacentral:miRNA from 10 species
GAUUGCCUGGUUACAUUUGAAUUUCAGAUAGACAAUGAAUAUUUUUUAGUACAAGGAUGUCUCAUGCAAUAUAUGGGACAUACUUAUACUAAAAACAAAAUCAGCUAUUUACUUAAAUUUAACAGAACGU